rnacentral:rRNA from 1 species
CCUACGGGGGGCUGCAGUCGAGAAUCAUUCACAAUGGGGGAAACCCUGAUGGUGCGACGCCGCGUGGGGGAAUGAAGGUCUUCGGAUUGUAAACCUCUGUCAUGUGGGAGCAAAUUAAAAAGAUAGUACCACAAGAGGAAGAGACGGCUAACUCUGUGCCAGCAGCCGCGGUAAUACAGAGGUCUCAAGCGUUGUUCGGAAUCACUGGGCGUAAGGCGUGCGUAGGCUGUUUCGUAAGUCGUGUGUGAAAGGCGCGGGCUCAACCGGCGGACGGCACAUGAUACUGGGAGACUAGAGUAAUGGAGGGGGAACCGGAAUUCGCGGUGUAGCAGUGAAAUGCGUAGAUAUCGAGAGGAACACUCGUGGCGAAGGCAGGUUCCUGGACAUUAACUGACGCUGAGGCACGAAGGCCAGGGGAGCGAAAGGGAUUAGAUACCCCAGUAGUC